rnacentral:rRNA from 1 species
AGAGUUUGAUCCUGGCUCAGAUUGAACGCUGGCGGCAUGCUUUACACAUGCAAGUCGGACGGCAGCACAGAGAAGCUUGCUUCUUGGGUGGCGAGUGGCGAACGGGUGAGUAACAUAUCGGAACGUACCGAGUAGUGGGGGAUAACUGAUCGAAAGAUCAGCUAAUACCGCAUACGUCUUGAGAGGGAAAGCAGGGGACCUUCGGGCCUUGCGCUAUUCGAGCGGCCGAUAUCUGAUUAGCUAGUUGGUGGGGUAAAGGCCUACCAAGGCGACGAUCAGUAGCGGGUCUGAGAGGAUGAUCCGCCACACUGGGACUGAGACACGGCCCAGACUCCUACGGGAGGCAGCAGUGGGGAAUUUUGGACAAUGGGCGCAAGCCUGAUCCAGCCAUGCCGCGUGUCUGAAGAAGGCCUUCGGGUUGUAAAGGACUUUUGUCAGGGAAGAAAAGGCUGUUGCUAAUAUCAGCGGCUGAUGACGGUACCUGAAGAAUAAGCACCGGCUAACUACGUGCCAGCAGCCGCGGUAAUACGUAGGGUGCAAGCGUUAAUCGGAAUUACUGGGCGUAAAGCGAGCGCAGACGGUUACUUAAGCAGGAUGUGAAAUCCCCGGGCUCAACCUGGGAACUGCGUUCUGAACUGGGUGACUAGAGUGUGUCAGAGGGAGGUAGAAUUCCACGUGUAGCAGUGAAAUGCGUAGAGAUGUGGAGGAAUACCGAUGGCGAAGGCAGCCUCCUGGGAUAACACUGACGUUCAUGCUCGAAAGCGUGGGUAGCAAACAGGAUUAGAUACCCUGGUAGUCCACGCCCUAAACGAUGUCAAUUAGCUGUUGGGCAACUUGAUUGCUUAGUAGCGUAGCUAACGCGUGAAAUUGACCGCCUGGGGAGUACGGUCGCAAGAUUAAAACUCAAAGGAAUUGACGGGGACCCGCACAAGCGGUGGAUGAUGUGGAUUAAUUCGAUGCAACGCGAAGAACCUUACCUGGUCUUGACAUGUACG